rnacentral:rRNA from 1 species
ACGGCUCAGUAACACGUGGACAACCUACCNUCCGGACGGGUAUAAACCCGGGAAACUGGGUAUAAUCCCCGAUAGAUCUCGGUCGCUGGAAAGCCCCGAGAUCGAAAGNUCCGGCGCCAGAGGAUGGGUCUGCGGCCUAUCAGGUAGUAGUGGGUGUAGCGUACCUACUAGCCUACGACGGGUACGGGUUGUGAGAGCAAGAGCCCGGAGAUGGAUUCUGAGACACGAAUCCAGGCCCUACGGGGUGCAGCAGGCGCGAAAACUUUACAAUGCCGGCAACGGCGAUAAGGGGACCUCGAGUGCCAGGUUACAAAUCUGGCUGUCGUGAUGCCUAAAAAGCAUUGCAUAGCAAGGGCCGGGCAAGACCGGUGCCAGCCGCCGCGGUAACACCGGCGGCUCGAGUGGUAACCGUUAUUAUUGGGUCUAAAGGGUCUGUAGCCGGCCGGAUAAGUCUCUUGAGAAAUCCAGCAGCUCAACUGUUGGGCUUUCAGGAGAUACUGUUCGGCUCGAGGCCGGGAGAGGUGAGAGGUACUUCAGGGGUAGGGGUGAAAUCUUGUAAUCCUUGAAGGACCACCAGUGGCGAAGGCGUCUCACCAGAACGGACCUGACGGCAAGGGACGAAAGCUAGGGGCACGAACCGGAUUAGAUACCCGGGUAGUCCUAGCCGUAAACGAUACUCGCUAGGUGUCGGCCACGGUGCGACCGUUGUCGGUGCCGUAGGGAAGCCGUGAAGCGAGCCACCUGGGAAGUACGGCCGCAAGGCUGAAACUUAAAGGAAUUGGCGGGGGAGCAC